CCUACGGGGGGCUGCAGUGGGGAAUAUUGGACAAUGGGGGCAACCCUGAUCCAGCCAUGCCGCGUGUGUGAAGAAGGCCCUCGGGUUGUAAAGCACUUUCAGUGAGGAAGAACGCCUGGUGGUUAAUACCCAUCAGGAAAGACAUCACUCACAGAAGAAGCACCGGCUAACUCCGUGCCAGCAGCCGCGGUAAUACGGAGGGUGCGAGCGUUAAUCGGAAUUACUGGGCGUAAAGCGCGCGUAGGUGGCUUGAUAAGCCGGUUGUGAAAGCCCCGGGCUCAACCUGGGAACGGCAUCCAGAACUGUCAAGCUAGAGUGCAGGAGAGGAAGGUAGAAUUCCCGGUGUAGCGGUGAAAUGCGUAGAGCUCGGGAGGAAUACCAGUGGCGAAGGCGGCCUUCUGGACUGACACUGACACUGAGGUGCGAAAGCGUGGGUAGCAAACAGGAUUAGAUACCCUAGUAGUC
rnacentral:rRNA from 1 species